rnacentral:rRNA from 1 species
UACGGAGGGAGCUAGCGUUGUUCGGAAUUACUGGGCGUAAAGCGCGCGUAGGCGGCUUUGUAAGUUAGAGGUGAAAGCCCGGGGCUCAACCCCGGAACUGCCUUUAAAACUGCAUCGCUUGAAUCCAGGAGAGGUGAGUGGAAUUCCGAGUGUAGAGGUGAAAUUCGUAGAUAUUCGGAAGAACACCAGUGGCGAAGGCGACUUACUGGACACAUAUUGACGCUGAGGUGCGAAAGCGUGGGGAGCAAACAGG